GGAUGAAGGAGUGAUCUGGCUGCAAAAUUUGUCACCCUGUUGAUCUUCUCUCACCAAUCCAUGUGCUUCCCUCCCAAAGCUGCAUGCUUAGUAGAAGAGAAUAAUGAUCUCAGAUAGGAGAUCAAUUAUACAUGCAAAAUCCAAAAACAGCUUCCCACACAUCAUCCAGUCAAUUACAAGAGUUGAUCAAAGA
rnacentral:snRNA from 11 species